rnacentral:lncRNA from 1 species
GCCUGCUUGCUCAUUAAUUCAGUCACAUGAUUGUCACCAGCUGCUUGCAGCUUUCUUCUUGGGAGGGAAAGGACAGCAGCUUGCUGUUGGAAGUGCUGAAGCUGCUCUCCACAUGUCCUUUCUCAGCCUUGCAUUGUGCUGAGUGAAACCCUCACCUGAAGCAACUUCUUAUGUUAUAAAACACCAUCUUCUCUCUUCUGGUUGUCCAUAACCACAAGAAAGCAGAGAAAAUAUUCAGAGAAAAUCAGUGACAAAGAUUGAGAGAAAAAUCUGAGAAAAAUCAGAGAAAAUUCAGAAAACUCCUUGGAUGAUUUUUCUUCAUCACCUUAGUUCAGUCUGAUGAUGUGUGGAAGAUAAAAAGGUGAGAUAUUCAGAAUAAAACCUAGAUCUUGUUCUGUUUCUGAUCUGAACUGAAGCUUGAUGUCUCUUUGAAAUCAGUCCAGCUGUGAGCUAAGCUUAAAGAAGAUAAUCAUCUGAGUUCAUCCGGGCA